AUCGUGAAUCUCUCGUUCUCUCUGUCGCGAGACCAACCUGGGAUGAACCUCCCUUUCCAGUCAUUCUCUUCCCUAAAUUAACCAUAACAUCUCUAGAAAUCACACAAGCGAUCUCUUGCUUCUCUCACUCGAAGACCCAGCCGGAGAGAAACCUGUCUUGCUCGAACUAACAAAACUGUCAACACAGAACAAUAGGCUCACAUCUCUCAUCUUCGAGUUGUCUAAAGCCUCAAGAAUCAAGUCCAUGAACCACUGUCGGAUAUAUGUGUACUACGUAGAUGGACCAAAUCUGCAAAAUCUUAUGGAGGCUCAAGGGAUGGCAGAGGUACAUGUGAUUCAAAUGUAGUGUUGAAUCACAACUCAUUGCGUCGGCUUGCGGCAAAUAUUGUUGAGGAUGCAUUGUUAAAUGAAGAAAAAUAUAAGCUGGCGUUUAGUGCAUUGGACUCCCUUAAAUGCACAUUCAACACCAUGUCAAACAAUGAUGGAGGACAGUCUUCUACACCUAGUAUUACUCAGUCAGAACGUAUUUUCAAUGAGCCUGAAAAGGUUAGAGCAAAGGGUAGUGGAAAGAGGCUCAAGGGUGGCAAAGAAACAUCGACUAAGAAUGAUAGGCGUUGUAAUGGUUGCAGGCUAAAAGGGCAAUCACAUGACAAGAGAAAUUGUCCAUUUAUUAAAAAUAGGAAUGAUACGGCAUGAUCUUGGGGAAUGAUUCAACUACAAGAACCUAUUUUGGCUGACAUUUUUUUUGAGCUGCACUCAAACUGGAAAACUUGGAGUUGUUGGAGCUAUAGCAAAGUGAAAAAAAUGGGAUUUGUUGGAGCUGCAACAAAGUGCAAAACUGGGAUUUGUUGGGGCUGCACUCAUUCUUUCAAACUGAGAUUUGUUGGAGCUGCACUCAUUCUGG